rnacentral:ncRNA from 21 species
UGUGGUGCCGCUCGCUUCGGUGCCCUUCGUUCGAAGGGUGAAACGGGAAUGCGGUGCGGCGAGCAAUCGCCAAGUCCGCGGCUGCCCCCGCAACUGUAAGCGGAUCGUCUCCGGUCACUCCGCCACUGAGUUCGGCAUCCUAGAGCCGCUCGGGAAGGCGACCGGGACAAUGUCCGCGAGCCAGGAGACCGGCCGAAGUCCGCAACCAAGCC